UUUCUUAACUCUCGCAACAUUCCCGCGUGUUUGGAUCAGGCCAUCCAAACACGGAAACCAUAAAGUAAUUGUAUAUUUCCAACUUGUAAUGUAAAUACGAAUGACUGCUGAACAAAAGUCUCCUGAUUCAGAAAUAAUGCAGCAUUGGCUGUACAUCGGAAGUCUUUUCUUUGACCUAUAACUCGAUCGGAUGUUAAUAUAUCAAAUUUCCGUUCAACUCAAGAUGAGAGCGGAAAUUUUAACUGUUGCGAAAAAGGGAAUGGGACCGAUCCUCGAUAGUUUGUAACAAACACGGUUUUCUUUCGUUGCUCUUGAAAAGGUCAUUGGACUUUCGUUUCGUUGACUCUGUUUCUGAAGUCUUGUUGGGUAUAUAGAGCUUGCAGUUUCUGGAAACAUCUAGUUUGUUCUCUUGUUUGACCCAGCACUUGCGUCUUGCGCAACACUCGAGAACUGUCAGUUUCAACACAAACUCUUCAGCGAUCAUUCGAGCACACACUAGUUCAAUAUCAAUAUAUACCCUUUAGUAAAGUACAAACAAACUGCAAUAUCAAUCGUCUUAGAGAAAUGAAAUACUUAUAGUCAAUAGGGCAUUGAAAACGAAUGUCUUAGACUUAGUGCAAAUUUUGCAAUGACUGCAAUCGUCUUUAGAAAUAAAGGCCACAUAAUUUAAGGUCAUGCAUGCACCUUCUUCACUCGUUUAUGGCCAUGGAUACAAGAGUCAUGCAAUGACGAUUUCAGUACGUAAUAUGUUAAUUUACAACCGACCGUUAACGUUUACAACAUUCCCACUUCAACUGCUCAGUGCAAGACACCCAGUUUUUUCACUAUAUAUAACUAGCUGGGUACUUUCAUCUUCGGUGUGCCAAGAUUUUAGACUGAAUACAGUAUCUAAGAGCAGCUACCCAC